UUUCAUUUUUGAAAUUUUAAAAGUUUGUGAAUUGAAACAUCUAAGUAACAAAUAGAAAAAAAAUCAAAAGAGAUUCCAUUAGUAAUGGUGAAUGAAAGUGGAAAUUUAAAGUAUAGUUAAAAGUUUUUUUCAAAAAAACUUUGAUGUAUAAUACUUUGUAAAAGGCAGGAAUGCGUUAAAAAAAAUAACGUAAUUAAAAAACCUUUGUUUGUAUAAAAACUUUUAGCUUGUUUGACUAGCGUGAGAACUUUUUUCUUGCGCGAUAAAAACUAGGAGGACUACCUUCUAAAUUUAAAUACUUUCUAUAACUAAUAGUGAACAAGUACCGUGAGGGAAAAAAAUGAGUUUAAGAAAUUGAACGCUUAUUAUCAAAUUGUAGUGUAUGUGUUUUAAUAUUUGUAAUAUUUUUUUUUAUUAUAAUAUAGUAUUUGCAUUGCAAUAUACCUUUUGUAUAAUGGGCCAACAAGUAAAUGAUUAUAGCAAGCUGAAUUUUUAAAAUAAGCUUAAUUAACUUGUGAGAAUUUAAAUAAGAUUGUUGUUCUAUUUAAUUUUUUUUGAUAAGUUAUAAUAAUUUAACCCGAAGCUAAGUGAUCUAAGCGAGAACAGAUUGAAUUUAUAUUGGUUUAUAUAAUGGAGGAUCGAACUCGUGUAUGUGGCAAAAUACUGAGAUGAUUCUCGUUUAGGAGUGAAAGGCUAAUCAAACUUAGUAAUAGCUGGUUUUCCGCGAAAUUUAUUUUAGUAAAGUGUCAAAUUGUUUUUUAAAGGUAAAGCUCUGUUUAAGUGAAGCAAUUUAAAACUUGUUUCAUUUAUUUAAACUUGGAAUUUUAAUAAAAUUUAAUUGUCAAAUAGACGCUGGGCGAUAAGGUUCAGUGUCAAAAGGGAAACAACCCAGAUCAUUCGUUAAGGUCUUUAAAGAUAUAUUAAGUUUUAAAGGAUGUUUAAAAUAUAAGAAAUUAGUAUAGUAGGCUUAGAAGCAGCCAUCGAUUAUAGAACGCGUUAUAGCGCGCUAUUUUAUGUUUAAGCAUCAAAAAUUAACUAGAGAAUAAAAAUAUUCUACCGAAACGAUGACUUUUGUAUUUUUAACAAAAGGGUAGCGGAACGUUCUGUAUUUAUUAUUUUAUUUAUAUAUUUGUAAGAAUAUAUAAUAUUUUCAGAAUUGAUAAUGUUGGUAUGAGUAACGAAAACUACGAUUUAGGAUCGUAGUCACUGAAAGUCUAAGGGUUUCUAUUGUUAUUUUAUAAACGUAGAUUUAAUCGGUUUCUAAGAUAAAAACGAAAGUUUUUGUCAAUGAGAAAAUAAAAUGGUUUAAAUAAUUAUUAUAUACAAGUGUUAUAAAAAAAAAUUUUGUAAGACGGAAUUUUAUAUUUUGAAGUUAAUAUAAAAUGUUUUUCUUUAAAAUAAAGAAUUUCCAAGAAAUAAUUGUAUAUUUUAAAGUAACCGUACCGAAAACUGACACAGGUAGACUGGUUGAAUAGACUAAAGUGUUUGAAAUAACCAUAUUGAAGGAACUCGGCAAAUUGACUCCGUAAGUUCGCAAAAAGGAGUGUCAUAUUUAAAUAUGAUUUAAAUGAAUAAGGGGUAACGACUGUUUAUUAAAAACACAAAGCUUUGCAAAUUUGUGAAAAAAAGUAUAAAGCUUGACGUUUGCCAGGUGCUUGAAGGUUAUUUUAAUGAGUUCAGGCUCUAUUAAAUAAGCCCAAGUAAACGGCGGUCCUAACUAUAAGGAUCCUAAGGUAGCGUAACCCACUGACGCAUAAUUUGCGUCCUGCAUGAAAAACGUAACGAUUGCCCCGCUGUCUCCAAUAUGGGUUCAGUGAAAUUGAAUUUUCUGUGAAGAUGCAGAAUAUUUGCAGUUAGACGGGAAGACCCCAUGAUUCUUUACUAUAGUUUUAUAUUGUGAUUCUUGUAAAAUUUGUAUAGAAUAAAUGGGAACUUUAUUAUUUUAGUAAACUAAACUAAAAUAAUAAAGUGAUAGUGGAAUACCAUUCUUAUUUUAUGAGAUUGCUAAUUUAUAUUUUGUUGUAUAAAGACAGUGUAAGAUGGUUAGUUUGUUUGGGGCAAACGCCUCCUAAAAAGUAACGGAGGUGCACAUAGGUGAUCUCCAGUUCGUUAGAACUGAAUGAUGAAGGAGUGUAAUGGCAUAAGUUUGCUAGAUAAGUUGACUGAUAAGUCAGCUUAGGACGAGAGUCGGUCAUAGUGAUCCGGUAAUUUUUUGUAGAAAAGUUAUCGCAUAACAGAUAAAAGAAACUCUGGGGAUAACAGCGUUAUCGUUUCUAAGAGUUCAUAUCGACGAAACGGUUUGCGACCUCGAUGUCGGCUCAUCAUAUCCUGGAGUUGAAGUAGGUUCCAAGGGUCCGGGUGUUCACCGGUUAAAAUGGUACGUGAGCUGGGUUUAAAACGUCGUGAGACAGUUUGGUCCCUAUCUGCUGUAAAUAUGAAAAAGUGAAGAAAGUCAUUUUUAGUACGAAAGGAUUAAAAUGAGUUAACCUCUAGUGUAUUGGUUGUUACAAUUAUAGCAUUGCCAAGUAGCCACGUUGAUUUAACAUAAACACUGAAGUUAUCUAAGUGUGAAAGUUUUUCUUAAAUGUCUUUUUAUUAAGUAUUCUAAAAGAUUAUUAGAUAGAUCGGUUUAGUAUGUAAAGUUUGUAAGAACUGAGUAUAUAAAUACGAAAAGAAAAAAAAAAUGAAAAAGUUUUGACUUUUUCAUUUUUCUUGCUUUUGUUUUUUUAUC
rnacentral:rRNA from 1 species